UCCGUAGGUGAACCUGCGGAGGGAUCAUUACACAACAAAAUAUGAAGGCCUGGCUUCGCGGCCGGCUGAAAUAUUUUUUUCACCCAUGUCUUUUGCGCACUUGUUGUUUCCUGGGCGGGUUCGCCCGCCACCAGGACCAAACCAUAAACCUUUUUUUUAUGCAGUUGCAAUCAGCGUCAGUAAAAACAAUGUAAUUAUUACAACUUUCAACAACGGAUCUCUUGGUUCUGGCAUCGAUGAAGAACGCAGCGAAAUGCGAUACGUAGUGUGAAUUGCAGAAUUCAGUGAAUCAUCGAAUCUUUGAACGCACAUUGCGCCCUUUGGUAUUCCAAAGGGCAUGCCUGUUCGAGCGUCAUUUGUACCUUCAAGCUUUGCUUGGUGUUGGGCGUUUUUUGUCUCCCUCUUUCUGGGAGACUCGCCUUAAAACGAUUGGCAGCCGGCCUACUGGUUUCGGAGCGCAGCACAUAUUUUGCGCUUUGUAUCAGGAGAAAAGGACGGUAACCCAUCAAGACUCUACAUUUUUAACUUUUGACCUCGGAUCGGGUAGGGAUACCCGCUGAACUUAAGCAUAUCAAUAAGCGGAGGA
rnacentral:rRNA from 1 species